GGCUGGUCUGAGUGAAGUGGUGUUUACAACUAAUGGAUCACAACCAGUUACAGAUUUAUUUGUCUUCUCCACUCCCACUGCUUCACUUCACUAGCCUUAC
rnacentral:Y_RNA from 1 species